rnacentral:rRNA from 1 species
GUGCUUGCACUUAAAGGGAACCGGCGAACGGGUGCGUAACACGUAUGCAACCUACCUAUAACUGGGGGAUAGCCCGAAGAAAUUCGGAUUAAUACCCUAUAAUAUUUACUCAUCGCAUGAUGUAGUAUCUUAAAACUCCGGUGGUUAUAGAUGGGCAUGCGGUCUAUUAGUUUGUUGGUAAGGUAACGGCUUACCAAGACUACGAUAGAUAGGGGGUCUGAGAGGAUGAUCCCCCACACUGGUACUGAGACACGGACCAGACUCCUACGGGAGGCAGCAGUAGGGAAUAUUGGACAAUGGACGAAAGUCUGAUCCAGCCAUGCCGCGUGCAGGAAGACGGCCCUAUGGGUUGUAAACUGCUUUUGUAUAGGAAGAAACCUUUCCACGUGUGGAAAGCUGACGGUACUAUAAGAAUAAGGACCGGCUAACUCCGUGCCAGCAGCCGCGGUAAUACGGAGGGUCCAAGCGUUGUCCGGAUUUAUUGGGUUUAAAGGGUACGUAGGCGGGACUUUAAGUCAGUGGUGAAAGCCUCCAGCUCAACUGGAGAAUUGCCAUUGAAACUGAAGUUCUUGAAUAUGGAUG